UACGAAGGGGGCUAGCGUUGCUCGGAAUUACUGGGCGUAAAGCGCACGUAGGCGGAUCAUUAAGUCGGGGGUGAAAUCCUGGAGCUCAACUCCAGAACUGCCUUCGAUACUGGCGAUCUUGAGUCCGGGAGAGGUGAGUGGAACUCCGAGUGUAGAGGUGAAAUUCGUAGAUAUUCGGAAGAACACCAGUGGCGAAGGCGGCUCACUGGCCCGGUACUGACGCUGAGGUGCGAAAGCGUGGGGAGCGAACAGG
rnacentral:rRNA from 1 species